UACGUAGGGGGCAAGCGUUGUCCGGAAUUAUUGGGCGUAAAGAGCGUGUAGGCGGUCCGGUAAGUCCGCUGUGAAAGUCGGGGGCUCAACCCUCGAAUGCCGGUGGAUACUGUCGGGCUAGAGUGCGGAAGAGGCGAGUGGAAUUCCUGGUGUAGCGGUGAAAUGCGCAGAUAUCAGGAGGAACACCAAUUGCGAAGGCAGCUCGCUGGGACGUUACUGACGCUGAGACGCGAAAGCGUGGGGAGCAAACAGG
rnacentral:rRNA from 1 species